rnacentral:miRNA from 1 species
UCAGAGAGGCGAUAGUUGAGUUU